CCACGCCAGGUGGGCACAGAGCAUGAGGCUGCUAAUCCAUCAGUCAUAAACCUCACAACAGAGACAAUUUGUAGAGAGACAGCCUUAUACAACUGCUCAUAGGUAUAAACAUGAUUCAGUGUUAUACUGUCCCCAGAACAGCAGAACCUUGGAACUCGAACGCCUCUCGACUCGACCAACCCGGACGUCGAACAGGUCAGCUGAGAAACAUCUAGCCACAACCUGACGAAAACAUGGAACCUGACUAAACAAAACAGACCUGCUACAAUUUGAAGGUUUUAAUGAGCAAUCAUUGGGGGUCUGAAACGGAUUAAAUCAAUUUACGUAAUUUCUUAUGGGGAGACUCGACUUGGAUCUCAACCAAAUCGCAACUCGACCAGCCUUCUAGAACGAAUUGAGUUGUGUUCCAAGGUACUACUGUAUAUUGAAAUGAUGAAUUUAGUUUUGUGAGAAACUGCAUAUAAGCUCUCACUCAAUGUGUUAUUCAGCUAUUUAACAUUUUCAUUUAAUACAUGCUUUUAUCCAAAAUGACACAGAAUCAGACGGUCCCUGGACCAACUGGGGAUUAAGGGCUUUGCUCAAGGACCCAACAGUGAAAUCGCUCUGCCAUCCCUAGGAUUUGAACUGGAAACCUUCCGAUUAAGGGCACCGCGUCUUAACCCGCUGUGCCACAUAUCACUCCCCUUUUAACCAAAAACUAAGCACGCUCUGUCAUCUCUACGUCCCAGGGGCAUACGGUGGCGUGCAGAGGCUGGCAACACAGAACAAUCAUUCAGAUAUAAAGCAGCCUUCAGCCACGAUAAGGUGGAGCAUCUGUUGCAAGUUCCUGCAGGUCAGCCCCUCCCCAUCCCAUUUACCAGGACAUAGGCAGGUCCACCACACCAGACCUGGGCUGGGCUGUGGCUUGCUAAGAUACAUUGUACACUCCCUAAAACGCUGGUCACACCUGGACAGUGGCCAACGCAUGUGCAGCUCCUCCAUCCAGGACAACCCACUGUACCCUCUCUUGCAGAACUAUAGGGUCAACAGAAUGGAGCUGGCUGGCCAGGUCUUAGCCAAUGUGCGAGGAGAGCAAACCAGGCCUACAAUCCAGGAAAGCAUUUUGUUAAUGGGUUAAUACAGUAGGUGUGUCCUCUGACAAUCUAAAAAUUCACAGGCACGAGACAGACAAAGAAAGACAUUCUGUAGCCCAAUUUAAAACCUGUAUAUCGAAAUUUUACUGCAAUACAGCAAAAAUGUCAAUAUUUUGUUAAACCUGAUCAAGUAAAAUUCUGCGGCCGGUUGCACAAAACACCUUAAGGUUUAAUUUCUCCUUAGCGGAGGGAUUUAUUUACGGGUGUUGUACAGAAAAAUCUUAAGGGAUUUAAUGCAUUGAAAGACGUUUUACGGCAGUAGAAUUGUACAUUAUCCAUGGAAACACUUUGGUUGCCCUCACGCCUGCUUGUGGUGCCCGUAUGGAGUUAAUUUUGUCACAAAAGUAUUAAUCAAAAUUUUGAAAACCACAAGCAAAUUAUUAAGUAUCAGGAUGAAAACAUGUAUUCCAAAUAUCAAAAAAGUCUAAUAAAAUAAUUUUCUCCUUCUUCUCUAAACUUCUAAUUUCUAAUGCUUUUUUGCUUCCUACGUUUGGUGCUGGUUUAACGGGUGGGCGGGCCUUAGCAGCUUACACGUCUAUUGGUCAGCUGGAAUUUGAAAUGAACAUGCCUUUAACCAUCUGAGCACGCCCACUCCAUGACGCCUCAGAACAUCGCAACAUGGCGGGUAGCUACAGAGCCAGU